GAUCAUGGGUCAGGAUAAACGCUGGCGGCGUGCCUAAUACAUGCAAGUCGAUCGAUAGAAGUCCAGCUUGCUGGACGGAAAUAGAGGCGAACGGGUGAGUAAUACGUAAGCAACCUGCCCACGAAGACCGGGAUAAUCCCUGGAAACGGGGACUAAGACCGGAUAGGUACACAGAUCGCAUGAUCAGUGUAUUAAAGGAGAGAGACACUGGUGGAUGGGCUUACGGUGCAUUAG
rnacentral:rRNA from 1 species